rnacentral:rRNA from 1 species
UACGUAGGGUGCAAGCGUUGUCCGGAAUUAUUGGGCGUAAAGGGCUCGUAGGCCGUCUGUCACGUCGGGAGUGAAAACUCAGGGCUUAACCCUGAGCCUGCUUCCGAUACGGGCAGACUAGAGGUAUGCAGGGGAGAACGGAAUUCAUGGUGUAGCGGUGAAAUGCGCAGAUAUCAGGAGGAACACCGGUGGCGAAGGCGGUUCUCUGGGCAUUACCUGACGCUGAGGAGCGAAAGUGUGGGGAGCGAACAGG